CUGCUGCCUCCCGUAGGAGUUUGGUCCGUGUCUCAGUACCAAUGUGGGGGGUUAACCUCUCGGUCCCCCUAUGUAUCGUCGCCUUGGUGAGCCGUUACCUCACCAACCAGCUAAUACAACGCAUGCCCAUCAUCAACCACCGGAGUUUUCAACCCCAUGCGAUGCCGCAUGAGAUAUUAUGGGGUAUUAGUACCAAUUUCUCAGUGUUAUCCCCCUGUUGAUGGUAGGUUGCAUACGCGUUACGCACCCGUGCGCCGGUCCG
rnacentral:rRNA from 1 species